GGUGGAAUUGCUGGGUCAUAUGGUGAAUGAUGUUUAAUUUUAUAAUGAAUCAUCAAACUUUUUUCCAAAGUGGUUGUACCAUUUAUAUUCCCACUAGUACU
rnacentral:pre_miRNA from 1 species